GAUUGGCAGGAUUUCUAUGAUUCUGCAAGCAAUACAUAUGAAGAUAAGUCAUAUACAUCAAGGUGGAAAGUGAGGGAAAGAAAAUAGUUAUUUUCCACUCUUUCCUUGCUUGGGAAAGAUGAGAAAGUGGCGAAUGAAAAACUAUAGGUAGAAUUUUUCAUGGGCCCUACAACCAAAUUUCUCCCCAAAUUAGAGAGAGGGAAAAUUUUAUUAAAUUGAGCAGAGAUCACUAAUUUAAUAAAUUGAAAUCAAGCAUGUAACAACAUUUAAAAAAGAAAAAAGAAGGAUUAAUCCAGCUUAGUAAAUCAUAAGUUCAUAAGACAUAAUUGAUGUGAGGUACAAGCCAAGAUUGGUUUACAUUUUGCUCAAACUGUAUUUCUCUUUCCAUCUAUCUGGCUCCACUGAAACUGGAGUUAUUGUCCAUGAAGUCAUAUUAUAUUAACUUAACACUGCAUCAGCACAGGUUGUCCAUACAGCAUUAUUAAACUGAGCCUUGAAGCAACUUCUCUAAAUCAUGUCUGUAUUGAUUUGAUUGAAUAACUUUAGGUUUAUAACAGAUAGUAGCCCACAUGAUGCUAAAUCAAAACUAUUACAUCAAUAAUACGCAUAAAAUCGGGCAUAAACCUUAAUAUCCUUGCGCAAAACAAG
rnacentral:misc_RNA from 1 species